rnacentral:tRNA from 1 species
GGCAGCGUGGCUCUAUGGAAAGAGCCCAGGCUUAGGAGUCUGAAGUCAUGGGUUCUAAUCCUAGCUCUGCCA